rnacentral:rRNA from 1 species
AUUGAGCGCUGGCGGCAGGCCUAACACAUGCAAGUCGAGCGGAUGAGAGGAGCUUGCUUCUCGAUUCAGCGGCGGACGGGUGAGUAACGCGUAUGCAACCUACCUUUAACAGGGGGAUAACGGAGAGAAAUUUCCACUAAUACCCCAUAACAUCGAUCAAGGCAUCUUGAUUGGUUGAAAACUCCGGUGGUUAAAGAUGGGCAUGCGUUGUAUUAGGUAGUUGGUGAGGUAAUGGCUCACCAAGCCUACGAUACAUAGGGGGACUGAGAGGUUAGCCCCCCACACUGGUACUGAGACACGGACCAGACUCCUACGGGAGGCAGCAGUGAGGAAUAUUGGUCAAUGGGGGCAACCCUGAACCAGCCAUGCCGCGUGCAGGAAGACGGCUCUAUGAGUUGUAAACUGCUUUUAAACAGGGAUAAAGCACAGUAUGUAUACUGUGUUGAAGGUACUGUAAGAAUAAGGAUCGGCUAACUCCGUGCCAGCCGCCGCGGUAAUAC